CAACCUGCCCUUCAGAGGGGGACAACAGUUGGAAACGACUGCUAAUACCGCAUACGAUCUAAUCUCGGCAUCGAGGAAAGAUGAAAGGUGGCCUCUAUUUAUAAGCUAUCACUGAAGGAGGGGAUUGCGUCUGAUUAGCUAGUUGGAGGGGUAACGGCCCACCAAGGCGAUGAUCAGUAGCCGGUCUGAGAGGAUGAACGGCCACAUUGGGACUGGGACACGGCCCAG
rnacentral:rRNA from 1 species